UUUAGUUUAUAACUUAUUUGAAAUAUCACAUAUAGAACCACAUAUUGUACCUUAUUAAACAGUGCCAUUGUUUUUAAAAUGACUAAUAUAAUAACUAUUGCAAUUAUUGGCACUUGAAUUUUAGUGGAGGUCAAUUGCAUUGGAGAUAGUGGUAUGGUGAUUGUGGAAGUCUCUCUUAACAUAAUAAUAUUUUGGAUUUGCAAUCUUAUUAUAAGUUCUUAGAUUCUUACAUCUAUUUUUAUAUUUUUAAUAUUUAUGGCCAAAAAUUAGUGCUUCAUUUAUUUUAAGAGAUCUUUAGUAGAUUCUUCUUCUUUUUUAAGUUUUUUUUUUUUUUUUUUUUUUUUUGACGUUUCUAUAAGGUCAAGAGGUAAUUUAUCUUUAUUAACUUCUCUUGUAGUAAAAUUUUUUUUAGAGCCAUGCCUUAUAGAAUCA
rnacentral:lncRNA from 1 species